rnacentral:rRNA from 1 species
GACGUAGGGCGCGAGCGUUGUCCGGAUUUAUUGGGCGUAAAGAGCUCGUAGGCGGCUUGUCGCGUCGAAUGUGAAAUCUCAGGGCUCAACUCUGACAUUGCAUUCGAUACGAGCAAACUAGAGUGUUGCAGGGGAGACUGGAAUUCCUGGUGUAGCGGUGAAAUGCGCAGAUAUCAGGAGGAACACCUAUUGCGAAGGCAGCUCGCUGGGACGUAACUGACGCUGAGACGCGAAAGCGUGGGGAGCAAACAGG